CCAGCAGGUGGCGGUAAUGCACCUUAAAGCUCUAACCGCCAAAGAAAAACCCCAAAGAAGAAGAAGCCGCAGAGUUCCCGCUUCAUUGCGUUUGUGUUUUAGUUUAUUUUUCUUCCUAAUCUGAAGCACUAAGCUGAUCAGCAGGAGGAGAAGAGUCUCAGCAGCAGGGGAACAUUUAAGCUACUUUCACUCAGCUCAGCCACUGCAGAGAAAACAAUGAGUUCGACACAGAAGGCUGUGAUCAGCUGACCUGCUGCUCUUUGGGAUGUACACAACUGAAUUCAGCCAGAUGUCUGCAGAUGUUUGAUGAGUUGUCCUGGCUGAUUUCCAUCCUCUACACCAGGGGUGUCAAACUCAAUUGCACAGGGGGCCAAAACUCAAGGCACACUUUAGGUCGCGGGCCAAACAAGUUAAACAUUUAUUGAACACACU
ensembl:lncRNA